GACGAACGCUGGCGGCGUGCCUAAUACAUGCAAGUUGAGCGAUGAAGAUUGGUGCUUGCACCAAUUUGAAGAGCAGCGAACGGGUGAGUAACGCGUGGGGAAUCUGCCUUUGAGCGGGGGACAACAUUUGGAAACGAAUGCUAAUACCGCAUAAUAACUUUAAACAUAAGUUUUAAGUUUGAAAGAUGCAAUUGCAUCACUCAAAGAUGAUCCCGCGUUGUAUUAGCUAGUUGGUGAGGUAAAGGCUCACCAAGGCGAUGAUACAUAGCCGACCUGAGAGGGUGAUCGGCCACAUUGGGACUGAGACACGGCCCAAACUCCUACGGGAGGCAGCAGUAGGGAAUCUUCGGCAAAGGACGAAAGUCUGACCGAGCAAAGCCGCGUGAGUGAAGAAGGUUUUCGGAUCGUAAAACUCUGUUGGUAGAGAAGAACGUUGGUGAGAGUGGAAAGCUCAUCAAGUGACGGUAACUACCCAGAAAGGGACGGCUAACUACGUG
rnacentral:rRNA from 1 species